GCUCAGGAUGAACGCUGGCGGCGUGCUUAACACAUGCAAGUCGAACGAUGAACCUCGCUUGCGGGGGGAUUAGUGGCGAACGGGUGAGUAACACGUGAGUAACCUGCCCUUAACUCUGGGAUAAGCCUUGGAAACGGGGUCUAAUACUGGAUAUUGACUUUACCUCGCAUGGGGUUUAGUUGAAAGAUUUAUUGGUUUUGGAUGGACUCGCGGCCUAUCAGCUUGUUGGUGAGGUAAUGGCUCACCAAGGCGACGACGGGUAGCCGGCCUGAGAGGGUGACCGGCCACACUGGGACUGAGACACGGCCCAGACUCCUACGGGAGGCAGCAGUGGGGAAUAUUGCACAAUGGGCGAAAGCCUGAUGCAGCGACGCCGCGUGAGGGAUGACGGCCUUCGGGUUGUAAACCUCUUUCAGUAGGGAACAAGGCCAGCAUUUUUGUUGGUUGAGGGUACUUGCAGAAGAAGCGCCGGCUAACUACGUGCCAGCAGCCGCGGUAAUACGUAGGGCGCAAGCGUUAUCCGGAAUUAUUGGGCGUAAAGAGCUCGUAGGCGGUUUGUCGCGUCUGCCGUGAAAGUCCGGGGCUCAACUCCGGAUCUGCGGUGGGUACGGGCAGACUAGAGUGAUGUAGGGGAGACUGGAAUUCCUGGUGUAGCGGUGAAAUGCGCAGAUAUCAGGAGGAACACCGAUGGCGAAGGCAGGUCUCUGGGCAUUAACUGACGCUGAGGAGCGAAAGCAUGGGGAGCGAACAGGAUUAGAUACCCUGGUAGUCCAUGCCGUAAACGUUGGGCACUAGGUGUGGGGGACAUUCCACGUUUUCCGCGCCGUAGCUAACGCAUUAAGUGCCCCGCCUGGGGAGUACGGCCGCAAGGCUAAAACUCAAAGGAAUUGACGGGGGCCCGCACAAGCGGCGGAGCAUGCGGAUUAAUUCGAUGCAACGCGAAGAACCUUACCAAGGCUUGACAUGAACUGGAAAUACCUGGAAACAGGUGCCCCGCUUGCGGUCGGUUUACAGGUGGUGCAUGGUUGUCGUCAGCUCGUGUCGUGAGAUGUUGGGUUAAGUCCCGCAACGAGCGCAACCCUCGUUCUAUGUUGCCAGCACGUUAUGGUGGGGACUCAUAGGAGACUGCCGGGGUCAACUCGGAGGAAGGUGAGGACGACGUCAAAUCAUCAUGCCCCUUAUGUCUUGGGCUUCACGCAUGCUACAAUGGCCGGUACAAUGGGUUGCGAUACUGUGAGGUGGAGCUAAUCCCAAAAAGCCGGUCUCAGUUCGGAUUGGGGUCUGCAACUCGACCCCAUGAAGUCGGAGUCGCUAGUAAUCGCAGAUCAGCAACGCUGCGGUGAAUACGUUCCCGGGC
rnacentral:rRNA from 1 species